rnacentral:rRNA from 1 species
UACGGAGGAUCCAAGCGUUAUCCGGAAUCAUUGGGUUUAAAGGUCCGUAGGCGGCCCAGUAAGUCAGUGGUGAAAUCUCCCGGCUCAACCGGGAAAUGGCCAUUGAUACUGCUGGGCUUGAAUACCAGGAAGUAACUAGAAUAUGUAGUGUAGCGUGAAAUGCUAGAUAUUACAUGGAAUACCAAUUGCGAAGGCAGGUUACUACUGGUGAUUGACGCUGAUGGACGAAAGCGUGGGUAGCGAACAGG